GGAAAUUUAAAAAUUUUAAGAUGCAAUCCUCUUUUAAUAUUUUUUAUUUUGAAAAUUAGGGUUCACUUGUAUCAAAUAAAUCAAAAUAUUACAUCCAAUAAGUUAGGACAUAAUAUUUUUAAGAUAUCUGACACUAAGUUAGCUUUGUUGGAAAUCCCUAUCUCAAAACAAUGAAACGUCAUAUCCAGUAAGUUAGGACACAAC
rnacentral:lncRNA from 1 species